rnacentral:rRNA from 1 species
UUAGGAAUUUUGCGCAAUGGACGAAAGUCUGACGCAGCGACACCGCGUGAGGGAUGACGGCCUUCGGGUUGUAAACCUCUUUUGGUCCCACAUGAAGUGGGACAGAAUAAGCAGCUACUAACUACGUGCCAGCAGUCGCGGUAAUACGUAGGCUGCAAGCGUUACCCGGAUUUACUGGGCGUAAAGCGUCUGUAGGUGGUUUGAUAAGUUCUGUUUCAAAGACCCCGACUUAAUCGGGGAAAGGGGCAGAAUACUAUCUCACUAGAGUUAUUGAGGUGCUACUGGAAUUUGUAGUGUAGGGGUAAAAUCCGUGGAUACUACAAAGAACACCAAUGGCGAAGGCAGGUAGCAAUCAAUAUACUGACACUGAGAGACUAAAGCUAGGGUAGCAAAUCAGAUU